CAGCUCUAGAGACUUUAAGGCAGGAGGAUCAAGAGUUCAAGUCAUCCUCAGCUACAUGGUGACUUCAAAGCCAGCCUGGGCUACAUGAGACUCUAAAAGAAAAAAACCCAAAGCAAACAUGUUAUCCACUAGUAUGCGCUCAUACUCAUGGUGAUUGUGAAGGCUCACAGAAUUUGAAGACACUCCAACCAGUCAGCUCACUAUUGACGAGUUUAUGAAGAUUGACCUGGAGGAGGAGUGUGACCCGCCCUCAUACACCGCUGGACAGAGGAAGCUGCGCAUGAAGCAGCUGGAACAGGUCCUGUCCAAAAAGCUAGAAGAAGUUGAAGGUGAGAUAUCCACUUACCAAGAUGCCAUUGAAAUUGAGCUAGAAAACAGUCGGCCAAAGGCUAAAGGGGCUCUCGCCAACUUGUCAAAGGAUGGCUCCGGUGAGGACGCCACAUCCAGCCCGUUCUGUGAGGAAGACACUGAGGAUGAGGAGCUCGAGGCUGCUGCCAGCCACAUGAACAAGGACUUUUACCGAGAGCUCCUGGGGGCUGAUGGCGGCUCGGAGGCAGCAGAAGACGCUGAUGGGGGCAGCAGACCCCUCGCCCUGGAGUCCCUGCUUGGUCCCCUGCCCACAGCAGCCAGCCUGGGUAUCUCAGACUCCAUCCGAGAGUGCAUCUCCUCCCCCAGUGGAGACCCCAAAGACUCUUCAGGGGAUGGGGAGCUGGACCUCAGCGGCAUCGAUGACCUUGAGAUUGACAGAUACAUCCUGAACGAGUCAGAAGCCCGGGUAA
rnacentral:lncRNA from 1 species